rnacentral:rRNA from 1 species
UUCCUCCUAGUAAGGGAGGUAAAGCCUGCUCACUGAUCAUUUUUGAAGAGCCGCAGUAUCCUAACUGUGCUAAGGUAGCAUAAUCAUUAGUCUUUUAAUUGGGGACUGGUAUGAAUGGCUAAACGAGAAAUCAGCUUUUUUUAUUAUAAAAAUUCAAUUUAUUUUUUUAGUGAAAAAACUAAAAUUUACUAAGAAGACGAGAAGACCCUAUAGAAUUUUAUAAAUUAAAAAAUUUUAAUUUAUUGGAUUUUUUAAAUUGAAAUUUGGUUUUUUAUUUUGUUGGGGCGACAUUAAGAUAAAAAAAACUCUUUUUUCUAUAAACUUUUAUAAUAGGAUAAGUUUGAUCCUCUAGAAGAGAUCAAAAGAAAAAAUUACCUUAGGGAUAACAGCGUAAUCUUUUUUGAGAGUUCCAAUCGACAAAAAGGUUUGCGACCUCGAUGUUGGACUAAAAUUUAGACAUGGUGCAGCCGCUAUGUUUUAGGGUCUGUUCGACCCAUAAUAUUUUACAUGAUCUGAUUCCAAAA